rnacentral:rRNA from 1 species
AACGAACGCUGGCGGCAUGCCUAACACAUGCAAGUCGAACGAGACCUUCGGGUCUAGUGGCGCACGGGUGCGUAACGCGUGGGAACCUGCCCUUAGGUUCGGAAUAACUCCCCGAAAGGGGUGCUAAUACCGGAUAAUGUAUUCGGACCAAAGAUUUAUCGCCUUUGGGUGGGCCCGCGUUGGAUUCGCUAGUUGGUAGGGUAAAAGCCUACCAAGGCGACGAUCAAUAGCUGGUCUGAGAGGAUGAUCCGCCACAAUGGGACUGAGACACGGCCCAGACUCCUGCGGGAGGCAGCGGUGGGGAAUUUUGGAGAAUGGGCGAAUGGCUGAUCCAGAAAUGCCGCGUGUGUGCAGAAGGCCUUCGGGUUGUAAAGCACUUUUGUCCGGAAAGAAAUACUUGGCCCUAACACGGUCGGGGGAUGACGGUACCGGAAGAAUAAGCACCGGCUAACUACGUG